rnacentral:tRNA from 1 species
GGGGAUUUAGCUCAGUGGUAGAGCGCUUGCCUGGGAAGCUCAAGGCCCUGGGUUCGGUCCCCAGCUCCG